CCCUUAGAUGUUCGGGGCCGCACGCGCGCUACACUGAAAGAAUCAGCUGGUAAGUUGCUCCUGGCUUGGAAACGUCGGGCAACCCGUUGAACCUCCUUCGUGCUUGGGAUUGGGGCUUGCAAUUAUUCCCCAUGAACGAGGAAUUCCCAGUAGGCGCGAGUCAUCAGCUCGCGUCGAUUACGUCCCUGCCCUUUGUACACACCGCCCGUCGCUACUACCGAUUGAAUGGUUUAGUGAGAUCUUCGGAUUGGCGCCACUGCGGCUCAGCAAUGGGCUCGGUGGAUGCCGAAAAGUUGAUCAAACUUGAUCAUUUAGAGGAAGUAAAAGUCGUAACA
rnacentral:rRNA from 1 species